GGGAAGCUCUUGGAUAAAGUGAUGGGAGAUAAUGUGACUUGAUGGUUUAGUUUGGUUUUAUGAAUGUGACAUGUUAUGAUUAUUUGAAAUCUAAUUGAGUAUGGUGGAUAAAUAUUACUAGAGUAGUAGUAGUAUGAUUUCUUGAUUUUGUCACAAGUGUGGUAGAGAAUCAUGGAUUAAAUGGUUGUAUUGAGUAGUGCGGGUAAGUAUUAUUAAGAUGUAUGUCUUGUUGUAUUUUUGUUAGUUCGCCCUUACUUGUUUGUGCAUGUGACUGCGAUGAUCAUAUAAUUCAUGACGUUAUACGAGAGCAAGCAAUAUUACAAAUGAAACUGAACAUGCAUAGAGGUGAGAAAGGUGUUGGAAAACCAAUUGAGGAAUUUGAUUAAGGAUUGUAUUUCUUAAGGAAGACUUGAAUGUGUGUAAUUUUAAUUAUUCUUUAGUAUGAACAAUAACACUCAGAUUGGAGUGUUAAACUCAAUACCAG
rnacentral:lncRNA from 1 species